UCGAUCCUUGAAACUGACAUAUGAACCGAUCAUUUUUUAUAUUAUUAGAUGUGCAUAGAAAACAAAUGUCUCCAACUUCUCGAUUAAUAUGGUGUGAUCAGAUAAUGCUGAAAGUAGCCUACAUGCAACAGCCAUGUAGGACUCGUUUGGUUCACGAGAAUUAGAGGAAGGCAAGUAUGAUUUCUGAGAAGUAAAAAAAUUUUUUUUUGUCUGGUUGGAGUUUUUAAAGAAGAG
rnacentral:lncRNA from 1 species